UGGUGCGUGCAGGUGGUGCUCCCGCCAGUUUGGUGGUCUGAUGGGGCUUUUAAAAAAUGAUCACAUUUAUAGAAUGGGCUGAAAACAAUAUUUUGACUAGUGAUUUCAUGUUUGUAAAGGGUAUUGUUUGGGAAUUUCCUCCAAUGUUUAGAGGCUUUGUGUUUUGAACACACUGAUUGAUUAAUUAAUCUACAGCUGCUUCUGGGUGCUCGGCAAUUUUCAGUCUCGUUGCUAUGAGACAAGGACUGCUCUGAAUUUGCCAAUGUGACAGGCACGUGAAGAGCUGGCAGGCUCUGCCCACUAACCACAGUGCCCUCAAAUGGGCAUUCUGAAAAACUGCCAGGGAAAAUACGUUUUUUUCCACUGUUCUCUAAGCGGCCCUCCUUUCCAGGUGAAUUUGAACAAAUGGCAGCAAGGAUGGAUGGGGCAACAGGAGGGACUGUGACCACUGAGACAGUUGCAGGUUGGUGGGAUUAAUGACUGCCCUGAGGUUUAGAAGAAGGAAGAGAUGGACAGGUGAUGCAAGCCUGUAAUCCGUCCUUGGGAGGCUAAGGAAGGAGGACCGCUGCAAGUUCAGGCCAGCCUGAAUUGCUUACUAAGACCUCAUCUUGGGGAGUGGCGAAGGCACAGUCGGGGGCAGGGUGACAGAGAAAUUGAAAUACAAGGAUGCUUGGCUCUUCCCCUGCAGGUUUGGGAGAACCUGCUGCCUGGUAGAGAACCCUUCUACUCUGAAUCCUGGUCCUUCCUGUUACCCCCUUGCACCGUUUGACGGCUCCAUGAACCCUGAUGUGUGGUGCACCUCACUGGGAUUAUGUUCUUCUUCCCUCUGUUUGCCUGUCUCCCUGUGGGGUAUUCUGGUUUUUGCAAAGUAAAUACUGAGUUGUGGA